UACGUAGGGGGCUAGCGUUGCUCGGAAUCACUGGGCGUAAAGGGUGCGUAGGCGGGCCUUUAAGUCAGGGGUGAAAUCCUGGAGCUCAACUCCAGAACUGCCUUUGAUACUGAGGAUCUUGAGUACGGGAGAGGUGAGUGGAACUGCGAGUGUAGAGGUGAAAUUCGUAGAUAUUCGCAAGAACACCAGUGGCGAAGGCGGCUCACUGGCCCGUAACUGACGCUGAGGCACGAAAGCGUGGGGAGCAAACAGG
rnacentral:rRNA from 1 species